CCUACGGGAGGCAGCAGUAGGGAAUCUUCGGCAAUGGGGGGAACCCUGACCGAGCAACGCCGCGUGAGUGAAGAAGGUUUUCGGAUCGUAAAGCUCUGUUGUAAGAGAAGAACGAGUGUGAGAGUGGAAAGUUCACACUGUGACGGUAUCUUACCAGAAAGGGACGGCUAACUACGUGCCAGCAGCCGCGGUAAUACGUAGGUCCCGAGCGUUGUCCGGAUUUAUUGGGCGUAAAGCGAGCGCAGGCGGUUAGAUAAGUCUGAAGUUAAAGGCUGUGGCUUAACCAUAGUACGCUUUGGAAACUGUUUAACUUGAGUGCAAGAGGGGAGAGUGGAAUUCCAUGUGUAGCGGUGAAAUGCGUAGAUAUAUGGAGGAACACCGGUGGCGAAAGCGGCUCUCUGGCUUGUAACUGACGCUGAGGCUCGAAAGCGUGGGGAGCAAACAGGAUUAGAUACCCUGGUAGUCCACGCCGUAAACGAUGAGUGCUAGGUGUUAGACCCUUUCCGGGGUUUAGUGCCGUAGCUAACGCAUUAAGCACUCCGCCUGGGGAGUACGACCGCAAGGUUGAAACUCAAAGGAAUUGACGG
rnacentral:rRNA from 1 species